rnacentral:misc_RNA from 1 species
CCGAGUUUACAACUCCCAAACCCCUGUGAACAUACCACUUGUUGCCUCGGCGGAUCAGCCCGCUCCCGGUAAAACGGGACGGCCCGCCAGAGGACCCCCUAAACUCUGUUUCUAUAUGUAACUUCUGAGUAAACCAUAAAUAAAUCA